ACUGUGGUGUUUCUUUUCUUAAAUAAGGCUUCUUAUGGUCAAAGACCCAUAAAUGGAUUUAUAUAGUUCUUUUUUUUCAAUACCUCCACAAUUUAGUAGAACUUGAUAACUAUUUAGAGCAUUAAAUUCUAUUUGGAGUUCUAUUCUUACAGAGUUAACAAGACAUUAUGAUGUCAUUCUAGGAAUAUAGUGUGAUAGGAUUCAUACAAUCAGGAUAAAUAAGAAAGCCUGUCAAAAUCCAAGUGUGAAGAUAUGGUCACCAUAUUGAAUAAGGACACGUUUGGUAACUGGAAGAUUGUUUUUGAUAAUUGGAAGAAAACUUGUCUUCAGUCUAAGGUCCCUUAAGGAAACAUAGCUGAUUUCUUUCCAUUUCUCUUUCCUUCCUCCAGGCUUAAAGUACACUAGGAUAAAUAAGUUCAUAAAACUCAGAAUGAUUGGAAGAGAGAGCUUGCUGGGGCACUCCACGAAAUACUGAAAAUGGUCUUUCUUUUUCUAUUUUUCAAGUCAGUGAUUUUCAGAGCCUGUCCUUCUGUAUUUAUGUUUUCAAUACUUCAGUGAGAUUUAGCAAGUUGUUUAAAGCUGAGGCUGGGAUGGAAUAUUCUUGAGAAUUUAAGUUUAAUUUCACACUCUAUGCAGUGGAGAUUAGCAUCCGCACCCUUACCUUCACAGAAAAUCAGGGAGUUAGUGUAUGAUGUGUUAAGAAUCACCCUUCAUACAGCAGAGAGCCCCUGGCUUCCUGCCAUGUCCUGGGGUAAAAAAAGAGGGAAUGCCACGAUUAUUUACAGGACUGCUUUUCCUGUGGGAGAUUGUGUUUUAGUUUACCUCAGCUCAUUACUGAUUCAUGGGCUGCUAUUUUGGCUAAAUGAUGAUGGAGGAGCAAUAUUAGCUGAGAGGCUAACAAAACAUUCUUCAGCCCUUUCCACCAUCCUUCUCCUUGCAGAGUCUUUGCUGUCAACAAAACCCAGUCUGGAUAAUGCCUCCCUUUCAUCUCCUCCAUCCAUUCCCAUGAGUACUUUUCGUCUAUUAAGGUUCACCUGUAAAAGAACUGCAUUCACUAUUCAUGUUUCUGCAUUUGCACUUUACAAGUUGGCUUUGAUUUAGUGAGAAGAUAUGGACCCUGCCAACAUUCCUAGCUCAAGUGGAGUCUUUGACCAGAUGGCAAAAAUAUUUCAACUUUGAAGGCACCUUGGCGGCAUUAUUAGCCUGGUUUGUAAUUAAUUUAUUGAAAGGUAUUGAAACCAUCAUUUCUGAAAGUGGACUUAGAGUUAUCUUGAUAGCUAAUCACAUAUGAAGGACCACCUCUGAAUCUACCAAACAUGGAGUUUUGGUAGGAGUCUACAGAGACUCCUAGCCUUGGUGAAGCAAGUAAGAUGUACCAACCUGGGCUAAACCAGGUAAGUAAAACUAUUAGGAUUUAAACCAAAAGACUUCAUCCUUUUCCAUUCAGUCAUCUGUCAUUUCCCUUUUCCUAAGCCUAGGCGAAAGCAGUAUAGAAUAGGGUAUGUCAGCUUUGGCUCCAAAGAUAAAAAUGGUCAGCAUCACCAGGCUAGCAAGUGAAAGGAUAUUGCUAAGUGUUUCUCAGACAUUAAUUAUGUCCCCUUUCAGUCCACAUAGUGGCAGAAAUGUAUAAGGGUUAGGGGCUGGAGCCAGACUGCUGGAGUCUAAAUUCUGAUUCUAUCACCAAGCUACUGUGAGACUCUGAGAAAGUUAAUUUGUGUAUCUGUGAAUCAGAUUCUUCACUUGUGAAUGGGCAUCUGAAUAGUACCACUUUGUUGGGUUCGUAUCCAAAUUCGAUGAGCUGUAUCAGAUCCACUGAGAACAGAGCAUGGGACAAUAACGUGGCAAUAAAGUUUAACAGUUAUUAUUAGUGUGAUAAUAGACUAAGAACAAGGGGGUGAUUUCUCUAUACGAUUAAUAUUCUUUGUCAUCACUAAGACAUUUGCACUGAGCAGGUCAUUGAAUGUGCUGAGCAACAGAGGAAUAUCAGGACAAAAACAGUGUCCGAUAGGGAUUUGUUCAUGGGAUCACAGGGCAUGUGCCCCAGAGGGUCAGAGGUUUAUGAUGAGAGGGGACAUGACACCAACCAUAAAUGAUGAUGUACAAAACUCAGCUUAUACUUGAGCAGAGCUUGAAUUUUUUCCAUUCUUAUCCUUACCAUGUCUUCAGAUUAGUUCUGAAGUGCAUCAUGUAUUAGGCAUAGUAGUAUUUCUGUACAAAGUAAUUGUCCUAAACUUCCUUUAUUCAAGCUUCAAGGGUGCAACAUACACAAUUAGGUCAGGAAUUGUGAAAAUGUUGCUGAAUUGCUGCUCAAGAGUAUUCACUUUGUUCACAAAUAUCCUCAGAUUUCCCCUUUCCAUACUGAAGUGAUACUUUUUUACUCUCUGUUUCUACUUGUCAUUAUAAAUGUCUCCUUUUUGACCUAUUAUAGGUGAGAUGACCAGACCUUCCAAGUUUAAAGAUGCCUCUAAGGUCAAAUAAGGUUUUCUGUUCAGUUUCUGAACAAAUAAUAUCUGAACAUUUAAUAAUCCCCAGUCUUUGGUUGGCAUUUGAAGUAACAGCUGUAUAUUAAGAUGGUAUCCUCAGGGAAUAAUCUAGGAUGACAGCUGAAAUAUAAUUCUGAUUUCCCUUGUCUCAUUUUCUCCAAAUCCCUUACUGGGGAAGCCUCAGUAAUUUAUAAUCCUCUAGCCUCCAGGAGAGGAUGUUUGGGGCAAUAGUUCGCA